UACGUAGGGUGCAAGCGUUAAUCGGAAUUACUGGGCGUAAAGCGCACGUAGGCGGAUCUUUAAGUCAGAGGUGAAAUCCCAAGGCUCAACCUUGGAACUGCCUUUGAUACUGGGGAUCUCGAGUUCGGGAGAGGUGAGUGGAACUGCGAGUGUAGAGGUGAAAUUCGUAGAUAUUCGCAAGAACACCAGUGGCGAAGGCGGCUCACUGGCCCGAUACUGACGCUGAGGUGCGAAAGCGUGGGGAGCAAACAGG
rnacentral:rRNA from 1 species